CGGCCGCGUCGACAUGUCAUUUAUUUUGUAAAGGGCGGAAAGUAGACUCCACCUACCUAACGAAUAGGACCGUCGCGUUGGUAGUUAGUCUAGUAGGUGGAGGUAACGGACGUCACCUACGCGACGAUACAUAGCGACCUCGAGAGGGUGGAGUCGGCCGACCACCUGGGACGUGAGACACGGCCCACGACUCCUACCGGGAGGCGAGCAGUAGGGAAGUACUUCGGUCGAAUGGGGCGAACCCGUCACCGAGCAACGCCGCGUGAGUGAGAAGUUUCGGAUUCGAAAGCUCUGUUGUAAGUCAAGAACGAGUGUGAGAGUGGAAAGUUCGACACUGUGACGGUAGCCGUCGACGCGGCCG
rnacentral:rRNA from 1 species